GAUGAACGCUGGCGGCGUGCCUAAUACAUGCAAGUCGAGCGAACAGACGAGGAGUUUGCUCCUCUGACGUUAGCGGCGGACGGGUGAGUAACACGUGGAUAACCUCCCUAUAAGACUGAGAUAACUUCGAGAAACCGGAGCUAAUACCGUAUAAUAUAUUGAACCUCAUGGUUCAAUGAUGAAAGACGGUUUUGUUGUAGCUUAUUGAUGCACUCUCGCCGCUUUGGGUGGUUGGUAAGGUAAAGGAGUACGAAGGGAACGUUGCGUAGCAGAACGGAGAGGGUGAUCGGCCGCACUGGAACGGAGACACGGUCCAGGCGCCUAGGGGCGGCAGCAGUAGGGAAUCUUGAGCAAUGGGCGAGAACCUGACGGCGAAAGGCCGAGUGAGUGAUGCAGGUCUUCGGAGCGUACGACUAUGUUAUUAGGGAAGAAAAAAUGUGUCAGUAACUAAGCACGUCUUGACGGUACCUAAUCAGAAAGCCACGGCUAACUACGUG
rnacentral:rRNA from 1 species